AGUGACAGUAGAAUAAAAAAAUUAAGAUGCACAAUACAAAAGGAUGAAGUGGUACAAAUAAGCAGUAAUAAGUUGUGUUUUUUAUCUAUCAACAAAACAGUAACUAGUUCAAUCCCCUGUUGUUUUGUCGUUGAUUUAUGGUUUACCUGUGUUGCAUUUAUUCCCAUGUUCCGAACACAAUUUAUGGGAUUAAGAGACGUGUUAUUAAUUAAGUGUUAUUUUUUGCAUCUUAAAUUGACGACAAGUGUAAAUCUAAAUCUCUGUGAAUGGUUGUCUCUCAACGAGAUAAUGCGAUUGACAGAAAAAAUGUCCUGGGUGUGAUCCAACCUAAAAAUAUAAAUAUUUAAAAAGAAAGUCAAAAUAAUUGACAUUUUAAUUUAACGUUUGAAUCAAUUACAAAUUAAAAUUAUAAUAUUCACAAUUUAAAUUCUGAACGUAUUUUUUCUGUCAGUGAAAAAUAUACCCAGUAGGUGGCAGCAGUGCUCCUCAUAGGACGCAUAGUUUUUCAAUUCCGAUGAAGAAGAAGCACAGUUGUGCUCUUGAGCACCGUUAGCGUAGCUCAUAAUCAUUAUCAAACAUUUUUAUUUAUGUGGUAUGACAUGAGUGAAGGUUGUAUUUGAGGGAUUUAGUGUAAAAGUUAGUAAGUGGUUAGUGGCUUUUGAAGAGCUACAUGGAACAGAGCUAUUUUUACCCAGCCAGUAGAAUCAUCCUCCAGACUGACUAUUUAUUCAUUUUCAAGCCUCCCCAUGUCUCCCAUGAUGCUUUAUGGGUGCUGUUGUUUUCCGGGUGUAAACUGAAGCUACGUUUUCAAGCCAACGACUCAUCACGGGCACAGGCAGUGACUGCCAUGCAUGUGUUGUGCAGCACCUCCCUGUGGUUGGACCUCAGCAAACUGACAAGUGGUGGGAGGCCUCCAGCGCUCUGUAGCUAUGUGGAGAAAAGAAAAUGCCAAGUGCAAAUGAGCAGAUACCAACCUCAGCCCUUGCAUCCAAGUCACAGGCCAGUAGAGACACACACAGUGUGACGUUGACCAGGAUCACUGUGUCUCUGGA